CUGGGAAACUGCCUGAUGGAGGGGGAUAACUACUGGAAACGGUAGCUAAUACCGCAUAACGUCUACGGACCAAAGUGGGGGACCUUCGGGCCUCACGCCAUCAGAUGUGCCCAGAUGGGAUUAGCUAGUAGGUGGGGUAAUGGCUCACCUAGGCGACGAUCCCUAGCUGGUCUGAGAGGAUGACCAGCCACACUGGAACUGAGACACGGUCCAGACUCCUACGGGAGGCAGCAGUGGGGAAUAUUGCACAAUGGGCGCAAGCCUGAUGCAGCCAUGCCGCGUGUGUGAAGAAGGCCUUAGGGUUGUAAAGCACUUUCAGCGAGGAGGAAGGGUAGUGUGUUAAUAGCACAUUGCAUUGACGUUACUCGCAGAAGAAGCACCGGCUAACUCCGUGCCAGCAGCCGCGG
rnacentral:rRNA from 1 species